rnacentral:misc_RNA from 1 species
GAUGAAGAACGCAGCGAAAUGCGAUACUUGGUGUGAAUUGCAGAAUCCCGUGAACCAUCGAGUCUUUGAACGCAAGUUGCGCCCGAAGCCAUUAGGCCGAGGGCACGUCUGCCUGGGCGUCACACAACGUUGCCCCCCCAAACCUCAACUUCCAAGAGGACGGGGGGCGGAUGCUGGCCUCCCGUGUGCCACGGCUCGCGGUUGGCCUAAAUGCGAGUACUCGGCGACGAGCGCCGCGGCAAUCGGUGGUUGUCUAACCCUCGGUGCCAUGCUGCGCGCGCGAUUCGCUCACUGUUACUCGACGACCCCAAUGCGUCGUAGCCACGACCCUCACAACGCGACCCCAGGUCAGGCGGGGCUACCCGCUGAGUUUAAGCAUAUCAAUAAGCGGAGGA